UACGAGAGUCUCAGCGUUGUUCGGAUUCAUUGGGCGUAAAGGGUGCGUAGGCGGCGCGGAAAGUCGGGUGUGAAAUUUCGGAGCUUAACUCCGAAACUGCAUUCGAUACUCCCGUGCUUGAGGACUGGAGAGGAGACUGGAAUUUACGGUGUAGCAGUGAAAUGCGUAGAGAUCGUAAGGAAGACCAGUGGCGAAGGCGGGUCUCUGGACAGUUCCUGACGCUGAGGCACGAAGGCCAGGGGAGCAAACGGG
rnacentral:rRNA from 1 species